rnacentral:piRNA from 1 species
GAGAAGGACUGCGCUGCAAAACC